GACGCUUCAGCCAGGAAGUAGGGCCCGAGAGGCCCCGGUGUCGAGGCCACGGGGUCGGGCGGGGGAAGCAGGCUGGUGGGCAGGAGAUGGCCUGGGCCUCAGCACAGUGGAAGACCCUGGACCCUCUGGGCUUCCACGCCGUCAGACCGUCUUGGGCUUCCGGCCUCGGGAGGUAUGAGAGAUAGCUGUGUCUGACCCUCUGCGACCGCAGGGCGGACUCCACCCCCGAUUGCCGGGAACCCCCGGAACCUUCUCCUCUGAUACCGGGCAGAGCCCACGGAGCGCCCUGGCAGGUGGCGGUGCCGGCCCAAGGCCCAAGCAGGCAGGGGACUUGCUCGGAUGGCUGCUCGUGCUGUGAAUCACAACUUCAGGUUCUCUGCGAAACUGAGCAGAGAGCACAGUCCCCGCGGAGCCCUGCCUGGCCGCGGCCCCCAUCCCGGCCUCCGCAGGGGCCUUCAUUAGGAUCCCUGAGCCAUCCUGAUGCAGAGUCCCCAGUCCUCGGCCGCCCGGGGCCCCUGGGGCCCAUCACAGGAGGCAGGGAGGACUGGGAGCAGCCAGAGGACUGGGUGGGGAGGAGGCUCCAGAGGGUGGGUGGCCCAGCAGAGGGUCAGCAGGUCCCAAGGGCCCUCCCUCCCAUCCCAGCCUCCUGCCAAGUCCAGGCAGAGGCCAGGAAGUAGACAGUGCCACACCGGGGGAAGGCGAGGCCCUGCGUCCCAGGACUCCCGGGUUGGGAGAAGCCACCGUGGGAGGCACAGCCCCUGUUGCCACUGCCCUGUCGCCGAGAUGGGCCGCCUGUGAGCAGGCCACGAGGACCUUCACGCCUGUCCCCGCUCUUCACCCCGGAACCCACGGAGCGUGACCCCGACAGGAGCCCCUCGACCACUCCCCGAGCCGUUGGCAUGGCCCUCUGACGCCUGCCCUGCCCCGGAGAAGCGGAGCUGGGUCCAGGCUCUGUGGGCGGCUGCGGGGCCAGCCUGGGCAGCACCAUCAGGGCCAUCGUGCAGCCAGGCCACCAGGAAGCCCUGGGACAAGAUCUCCACCUUCCUCCCAUUGUCACCAUCGGAGUGUUCCAGUGCGGUGACGCCAUCCGGCGUGUCACGGAUGCUCCUCCUUGGCGUGGCCGGGCCAGGGCCACCCCCACGAAGGAGGCGAGGGGCACAGGGCCCUGCCGCCAGCCCCGUGGCUACCCAGUACCCAGGGAGCCGUGGCCACGGCCGGCCCUCGGACCACCCGGCACUUUCUGAGGCUCUUUGGGGAGCUGGCCCCGCCAUGGUGAUGGCCCCUCAAAGUACCUCCAGCCCCCGGUGGAGGGACAAGGAGCCCCAAACCCUGGGUUCCAGCACCCGCCAACACGGUGGCCCUCAACAAGUGGGGUCCACUCUGAGCACCGCGACCAUGAGACCCCUGAGCCUGGGCAUCAGCAAGAGCUGAUCAAGAGACGGUCGUGGACAAACCCCGUGCCUGGGAGAGUGGCCAGUGUCCCCCCUGAGCAGGAAG
rnacentral:lncRNA from 1 species